GACGAACGCUGGCGGCGUGCUUAACACAUGCAAGUCGAACGGAAAGGCCCUGCUUUUGUGGGGUGCUCGAGUGGCGAACGGGUGAGUAACACGUGAGUAACCUGCCCUUGACUUUGGGAUAACUUCAGGAAACUGGGGCUAAUACCGGAUAGGAGCUCCUGCUGCAUGGUGGGGGUUGGAAAGUUUCGGCGGUUGGGGAUGGACUCGCGGCUUAUCAGCUUGGUGGUGGGGUAGUGGCUUACCAAGGCUUUGACGGGUAGCCGGCCUGAGCGGGUGACCGGCCACAUUGGGACUGAGAUACGACCCAGACUCCUACGGGAGGCAGCAGUGGGGAAUAUUGUACUAUGGGCGGAAGCCUGAUGCAGCAACGCCGCGUGCGGGAUGACGGCCUUCGGGUUGUAAACCGCUUUCGCCUGUGACGAAGCGUGAGUGACGGUGAUGGGUAAAGAAGCACCGGCUAACUACGUG
rnacentral:rRNA from 1 species